AUGAUGUACGUAAUAACUCGGACAUCUAUUUCAAAUGCAUAUCCCAUUUUUGCGCAGCAGGGUUAUGAAAACCCACAAGAAGCAACUGGACGAAUUGUAUGUGCCAAUUGCCAUUUAGCUAGCAAGCCCGUCGAUAUUGAAGUUCCCCAAGCUAUGCUUCCCGAUACUGUAUUUGAAGCAGUUCUUCUAAUUACUUAUGAUAUGCAAUUGAAACAAGUUCUUGCUAAUGGAAAAAAGGGUGGGUUGAAUGUAGGGGCUGUUCUUAUUUUGCCCGAGGGAUUCGAAUUAGCGCCGCCCGAUCGUAUUUCCCCUGAGUUAAAAGAAAAGAUAGGAAAUCUUGCUUUUCAGAGUUAUCGUCCCGAUAAAAAAACAUUCUUAUGA
rnacentral:rRNA from 1 species